GACGAACGCUGGCGACGUGCUUAACACAUGCAAGUCGAACGGAAAGGCCCUGCUUUUGUGGGGUGCUCGAGUGGCGAACGGGUGAGUAACACGUGAGUAACCUGCCCUUGACUUUGGGAUAACUUCAGGAAACUGGGGCUAAUACCGGAUAGGAGCUCCUGCUGCAUGGUGGGGGUUGGAAAGUUUCGGCGGUUGGGGAUGGACUCGCGGCUUAUCAGCUUGUUGGUGGGGUAGUGGCUUACCAAGGCUUUGACGGGUAGCUGGCCUGAGAGGGUGACCGGCCACAUUGGGACUGAGAUACGGCCCAGACUCCUACGGGAGGCAGCAGUGGGGAAUAUUGCACAAUGGGCGGAAGCCUGAUGCAGCAACGCCGCGUGCGGGAUGACGGCCUUCGGGUUGUAAACCGCUUUCGCCUGUGACGAAGCGUGAGUGACGGUAAUGGGUAAAGAAGCACCGGCUAACUACGUG
rnacentral:rRNA from 1 species